AGCAAUUCCCUUUUUACCCAAACAUUUUCAAGUUUCAAUAGGGAUAUCAUCGGGUCCUAAAACCUUAUUUGAUUUCAUCUUUGUAAGUGUUUCCACUUCAAAGUUCCUAAUCCUGCGAUAGAACCUUUAAUCUUUGUUUAUCGUAUUAUUGGCUAUUUAUUUCCCUAUAGCUGUACUUUCAUGUUCCUCAUUUAAUAAUUUCUCAAAAUAGUUCUUCCAUCUUUCCUUUAUCUCUUCAUCUUUCACAAAUAUCUUAGAAUCCUCACUCUUGAUGCUAACAUUCAAAUAUAAAAAAUAAAAAAGAAAUUGUCAUUUUGGUUUAAAAAAAAUAAUUUUUAUAUUUAAAAAAUAUCAAAAACAAAUAUAAUUUUUUUUCCUCCAAAUAACAAGUGGCAAUUGACGUUUGACAGUUGCCAAAAAAGAAAAAAAAAAAUACACUGUUCCGGUCAAUUGGCCGAGCGUUCGGGAGGAUGACCAGGUAGGUCCAAAAUUCAAAAAUUCUCGAUUUUUCAGAAUGGAGAACACAAAAGAGAGAGAGAGUAGCCAAACGUGAAGGAGAAUUACAUUUUGAAAUGUGUGGUGGAAUCACAUUUUGAAAACUCCAUCCAAACAUGAAAUGGUGGAAUUAUAUUUAACAUAACCAAACACAGCCUAAUUUACUUGCUUUUGUUUGGUUGGAUUGGGAAAAUGAAUAGACGUCUUCAAGAUCUAUUUUUUGUUUGGUUCCUAUAGAAAAAUAAAAGAUGAAUAGGGAAAAGUGAUAUAAUUGUCCUACUUUUUCUUUUCCCUCAACAAACCCAAGAUCCAAACAAUUUGAUUUUAAUCAUUGGAAUGAUUACUAUCUCUCCCAUGGAUUUGCAAAUUUAAAGCUCAUCCAUUCAUUUGACAUCUCUCCAUCUAAAUGCUGCCCAAAAGGUUAAUUAGUUACUGACAGUUCUUUCUGUAAUCAAAGGCAAUACAGUGUAUGCUUGUAAUGUAGUUGAAAAAUGCUGUCAAUUAUAACAUCUACAUGGAUAAGUCACAAGAUCUUUUGGUAAAUAUUUUGGCACAAUCGUCUUGAAAAUGUUGGAUUGUGGUAGCCAUUUUGUGACUGCAUGGUGGUAUGCAGAGAUCUCUUUCUAAUGUAUAGCAGUUGAGAAGGAUUGGGGCACACAUACGUCUAGUUCUAGAUAUUUUAAAUUACAUGCUUAAAAGGAUGAUGUGUGAUAUCAAGAACGUGUAAUUUCAUCCCAAAUGCUAGACAAUCAUUGACGACUUUGAUUUAAAACAUGCUAAACUGAAUUGGCAUGUAGUUCAUUUGUUUAUCUGACAAUUUGCUUUGCCCUGUGCAGUGGUGCAAUAGUUGUGUUCUAUCUUUAUAGGAUCACACUGAGUGGUGGACAGACAAAUGCAACAGACUACCGCGGGACUGAAUAAUAAGGCUCUUAUGUAUCACAACUUUUACAAAAUGUAAUUUUCCAUGUUAUAAAUGAGGGAAUGGAUUAUGCCUCUGUCUAGCAAGCACAACCAUCCUGGUGGAAGAAGGCACGGCAAUCUCUCCUAUGUUCCAGGUAGUAGAUGUAUUGGUCUAGACUUUGAGAUUCAUACUUCCGAAGCAAAACUUGCCUGGCAAUAUUGGAGAGUGGAUAAUGAGAUUGUAUUUUCAGUUUGUUUGUUUUUUAGUCAGUUAUGAAAUAAUUCUGCCACAACCUUCAAUGUGGGAAAUUCAACUGUUUUUACAUGCUUGUAAAAUGUCAAUGCUUUAGGAUUCCCUUGGUUUAUUGGAUGUAAAUUUGUCCAGAUUUGAACUGAAGUGACGCAUCUAGCUGUGUGGGUUGCAAGGUAUUCGAUCAGAUCAGAUUUAAGACCAUCCUUCUUCUUCCUGUUCAAACUUUUGCAGACUAAUCAAAUUUGAUCGACUGGAGAAGUCGUUAUUGUUGA